UUGAACGCUGGCGGCAGGCCUAACACAUGCAAGUCGAGCGGUAGCACAGAGAGCUUGCUCUCGGGUGACGAGCGGCGGACGGGUGAGUAAUGUCUGGGAAACUGCCUGAUGGAGGGGGAUAACUACUGGAAACGGUAGCUAAUACCGCAUAACGUCGCAAGACCAAAGUGGGGGACCUUCGGGCCUCAUGCCAUCAGAUGUGCCCAGAUGGGAUUAGCUAGUAGGUGGGGUAACGGCUCACCUAGGCGACGAUCCCUAGCUGGUCUGAGAGGAUGACCAGCCACACUGGAACUGAGACACGGUCCAGACUCCUACGGGAGGCAGCAGUGGGGAAUAUUGCACAAUGGGCGCAAGCCUGAUGCAGCCAUGCCGCGUGUGUGAAGAAGGCCUUCGGGUUGUAAAGCACUUUCAGCGGGGAGGAAGGCGUUAAGGUUAAUAACCUUGGCGAUUGACGUUACCCGCAGAAGAAGCACCGGCUAACUCCGUGCCAGCAGCCGCGGUAAUACGGAGGGUGCAAGCGUUAAUCGGAAUUACUGGGCGUAAAGCGCACGCAGGCGGUCUGUCAAGUCGGAUGUGAAAUCCCCGGGCUCAACCUGGGAACUGCAUUCGAAACUGGCAGGCUAGAGUCUUGUAGAGGGGGGUAGAAUUCCAGGUGUAGCGGUGAAAUGCGUAGAGAUCUGGAGGAAUACCGGUGGCGAAGGCGGCCCCCUGGACAAAGACUGACGCUCAGGUGCGAAAGCGUGGGGAGCAAACAGGAUUAGAUACCCUGGUAGUCCACGCCGUAAACGAUGUCGAUUUGGAGGUUGUGCCCUUGAGGCGUGGCUUCCGGAGCUAACGCGUUAAAUCGACCGCCUGGGGAGUACGGCCGCAAGGUUAAAACUCAAAUGAAUUGACGGGGGCCCGCACAAGCGGUGGAGCAUGUGGUUUAAUUCGAUGCAACGCGAAGAACCUUACCUGGUCUUGACAUCCACAGAACUUAGCAGAGAUGCUUUGGUGCCUUCGGGAACUGUGAGACAGGUGCUGCAUGGCUGUCGUCAGCUCGUGUUGUGAAAUGUUGGGUUAAGUCCCGCAACGAGCGCAACCCUUAUCCUUUGUUGCCAGCGGUUAGGCCGGGAACUCAAAGGAGACUGCCAGUGAUAAACUGGAGGAAGGUGGGGAUGACGUCAAGUCAUCAUGGCCCUUACGACCAGGGCUACACACGUGCUACAAUGGCAUAUAUAAAGAGAAGCGACCUCGCGAGAGCAAGCGGACCUCAUAAAGUAUGUCGUAGUCCGGAUUGGAGUCUGCAACUCGACUCCAUGAAGUCGGAAUCGCUAGUAAUCGUAGAUCAGAAUGCUACGGUGAAUACGUUCCCGGGCCUUGUACACACCGCCCGUCACACCAUGGGAGUGGGUUGCAAAAGAAGUAGGUAGCUUAACCUUCGGGAGGGCGCUUACCACUUUGUGAUUCAUGACUGGGGUG
rnacentral:rRNA from 1 species